rnacentral:lncRNA from 1 species
CGCCCACUUAGAUUUUGGACACCACAAAUAUCCAAUGCCCCUCAUGUUUUGUGUGAUGAAAACACUUUUCUUUUCUACUUUUAACGUGCAAGAGAGAGGUGCACAAAAUUAGGAAGGCUUGGGCGGCAUAUGCAAGAGUCCUAAAAUAGUUGGACUCUUAUCUCUUUACCUAAAAAUCCUAUCUACUCCCUAUUUAAAUAGGGGAUCAUGUGGGGUGGUAUGAACUUGAUUGAGAUCAAUUUUGGAUGCCAAAAUCAGAGG